AUGGGAACAAUGCAACCAAUUCCCAAGAUAAGGGCAAGGGGAAGCUGUAUAUGAUGUCGACUAGAGAACAAGAGGCUCGAAGGGAUGUUGUCUCGGACUAGGUGUGCUGGUGCUGCUGCAUAAUCUCGAGCAUACGGGGACUAGGCUUGGGUAUUUACAUUUAAAGCAUUUUGAAAUAAGUAUUAUUGGUUUUUCUAAGACUUAUAUAUGGUUUGUGGUUUGAAUGAAAGGGGUCAUUGAUGAUUCCCGAGUUGUAUUUAUA